rnacentral:rRNA from 1 species
UGGGUAGUCCGCACGAGCGCACCCUACUUUUAGUUGCUACCAUUUAGUUGGGCACUCUAAAAGAACUGCCAGUGAUAAGCUGGAGGAAGGUGGGGAUGACGUCAAGUCCUCAUGGCCCUUAUGAGUUGGGCUACACACGUGCUACAAUGGUACUUACAAUGAGAAGCAAAGAGGCAACUCUAAGCCAAUCUCAAAAAGGUACCUCAGUUCGGAUUGUACUCUGCAACUCGAGUGCAUGAAGCUGGAAUUGCUAGUAAUCGCAGAUCAGCGCGCUGCGGUGAAUACGUUCCCGGGUCUUGUACACACCGCCCGUCACACCAUGGAAGUUGGUUACACCUUAAGGCAAAAUGUUAACCUUCGGGAAACAUUUGACUACGGUACGAUCAGCGACUGGGGUGAAGUCGUAACAAGGUAGCCGUAGGGGAACCUGCGGCUGGAUCACCUCCUUUCU